rnacentral:rRNA from 1 species
GACGAACGCUGGCGGCGUGCUUAACACAUGCAGGUCGAGCGAUGAAGUUCCUUCGGGAAUGGAUUAGCGGCGGACGGGUGAGUAACACGUGGGUAACCUGCCUCAUAGAGGGGAAUAGCCUUUCGAAAGGAAGAUUAAUACCGCAUAAGAUUGUAGUAUCGCAUGAUACAGCAAUUAAAGGAGUAAUCCGCUAUGAGAUGGACCCGCGUCGCAUUAGCUAGUUGGUGAGGUAACGGCUCACCAAGGCGGCGAUGCGUAGCCGACCUGAGAGGGUGAUCGGCCACAUUGGGACUGAGACACGGCCCAGACUCCUACGGGAGGCAGCAGUGGGGAAUAUUGCACAAUGGGGGAAACCCUGAUGCAGCAACGCCGCGUGAGUGAUGACGGUCUUCGGAUUGUAAAACUCUGUCUUCAGGGACGAUAAUGACGGUACCUGAGGAGGAAGCCACGGCUAACUACGUGCCAGCCGCCGCGGUAA